rnacentral:rRNA from 1 species
GCUAACUUCGGGCCAGGAGCCGUGGUAAUACGAAGGGGUCAAGCGUUACUCGGAAUUACUGGGCGUAAAGCGUGCGUAGGUGGUUCGUUAAGUCUGAGGUGAAAGCCCUGGGCUCAACCUGGGAAUUGCAUUUGAUACUGGCGAGCUAGAGUGCGGUAGAGGGUAGUGGAAUUCCCGGUGUAGCAGUGAAAUGCGUAGAGAUCGGGAGGAACAUCUGUGGCGAAGGCGACUGCCUGGACCAGCACUGACACUGAGGCACGAAAGCGUGGGGAGCAAACAGGAUUAGAUACCCGAGUAUUC